rnacentral:lncRNA from 10 species
CUACAGCAGGGGUGGGCUCUUUAAGGUCUUUAAGCUCUUUAAGGGGUGGGAGUCUCAUAACUUCACUGGAGCCAGAGCAUGCCGAGAGAGGCAAACUCUUGGCGGUUUGGGGUUAUUCUCCACCGGUUCCUGGAGAUCCGAGGGUAGCAAGUGCCAAUGGCUGUGCUGGGGUCACAGAGCUUACAGAGCUCCUAUCUUAUCCACACCCAGGGCAUGGCGCCUUCUUCCCUGGCAGACAAGUAGGGAAUGGUCUUUGCCACUUCUCACCGUGGCCACUAGAGAGCGACAGUGCUCCAUCUUCUAGAAAGAAACCGUCCAAUCCCCGCGCCUUCUGCCGAGGAGCCUGGCGAGCCACCUCCCUGAACUUCAGGACUUUCAGUUUCACUCCCUUAUGGUUUUGCACCUUUCUCUACUCUUCUACUCCCAAACACCAAGAUAAAAUGCCACCAUCGUCACCCUUUGGAAUGCCCUAUCUAGACACUUCUCCUCCCUCCAGCUGAGCAUACAGCUGAGGGAAGGAGAGGAUGCGGGGGAAAGGCGGCCACCCUGCUCAGUCCCUGGAAGGCCACUGGCACAGCCGGAGGAGCCAGGCCAGCCGCCAGCCCCUGCCCCUGCCAGGGUUUGCAUUUCCUUACCCAGGGAUGACUCAGAUGCCGAGGAGGACUGGUUGACACUGAAGGUCAUAUCUGAAUCACUAUCGUCCUGGGAGCCGCUGAGGGACCCUGAUGGAGUCGUGGUCGCAGGGCUGGACUGCAGGGUACCUGAGGCCCAAAGAGAUUCCAUCAGGGGCAGUGGAAGGUUGGACCUGCCCUGCUAGUCCAUGGUUCUUCACUGCUUUGCACCUUAGCUUUCCCGUCUAACGAGAGGACCAGAGAAACAGCCCUGGGAUGUUCUUUUGGGAUACUAAUGUGCCCUCCCUCAUAGGAUAAGGGCCAGGCCAACAGGAACUUCCACUCUCUGGUCUCAAUAGUGGUGGUUCAGGAAAGGGCACAUAACCCCCGUAAGGCCCGAGACCCAAUUCUGCAACUUUUACUGGAACUACUAGGAAAGAAGGAACUCAUUCCAUUCAUUGGGAAGGAAGCCUGGAGCUGGAAGAGCCAACCCGUGGCAAAGGCCUGCCUGAGAGUGAUGCCAACACAGAGGCAAGCAGAGCUUUGAGUUGGAAAGAGAGGUAGGAUCCUGCUGAUAUCCUUCCAGUACCUAGAUCCAGCUAUUCCUGAACUCACCCAAUAUACUCCCAGACAUUUCCUUUUUUGCUUAGGGCACUUUGAGUGGGGUUUUGCCCCUUGCGAGAAGAUCCCUGACUACUAGUGCUCAACAUGGAUGAGUUUUCUUCCCCAAGCUUGCUGUUGGUUCAGACAAUAACAGCUUGUUUCUUAGGAUGAAAAGAUGCCCCUUCCCUUGCCCUACCUGAGGAUGAAUGGACAGAUAAUGGGCACUUCGUCUCGGGCUGAAAUGAUGACUAUGUCUGAUGGUUCCUCAAAAACACAAAACAACACAACUUCCCCCUCCCCAAAAAACACUCUGACCAAAUAACCACACUGCCACCCGGCUCCUCCUCUGCCCUCAUGAAGACAGCAACAGCUGCUGUUGUUACUGUUACCACUGAUUAAACCAGUGUCAGGCCCCGCUCAAGGCAUUAUAUGCACAUGAUUUCAUCCUCAUGACAACCCCAUGAAGCAGGUAUCACUCUCUUUCUACAGAAGGAAACAGGCUCAGGAGAAUCUGUGAUUUGUCCAGCAUCUUCAAAGCUGACCAGCGAUGUGACCCUGGGAUAGUCAUUUAAUCUCUCUGUGCUCAUUAUCUUAUCUGUAGGUGGGGAUAAUGAUACUGAUUUCAAUAGAGUCAAAGGGAGGAUAAAAUUCAAUGAGGGAACAUAUGAGCUGUUGACUGCUUCUUAUUGCUUGGACUCUACUUUUUGAGCCAUGAAGUUGGAGCCAGGCUCUCUGGGAAGCCUUCUCUGAACAUCUCCUUCACUCCACCAAGCUGGGAGAGGAGCCCCCGGCUGUAGCAAAUGUCACACCGUGCAACUCUCCUUUAGGGUGUCUGUGAGCUCCUAACCGGCAUGGAGUGUGUCCUGUCCUCUGCUGGCCCUAUCCUGGUGCCCAGGGCCCGGCCCACAGCUGGUGGCUGCUCCUGCCUAUUUGUGGCAUGAAUGAAGGCAAAAAUUAUCUCAAAAUAGGAUGGUUCAGGCCUCCAUUCCACUUUCUGUGGACGAUACUAUUCUUAUUUCCUCUUUCAUGUGCAGUCGAAUUUAUUUUUUCCCUACACUUACUGUGCAUUACAUGUUAAAAACACCCUAAUGUAACAAAUCGUAACAACGGAACUAAAAAUCGCACCGACCAUUUACCGAGGGGAUAUAGCCUGCCAAGCUCGGAGAUAAGCCGGUUACCUAUCUAGGUCGGUGGUUUACAAAAUGUGGUCCAGAGAGCCGCAACGUCAGCAUCUCCGGGCACUUGUCGGAAAUGC